rnacentral:rRNA from 1 species
GACGAAGGAUGCAAGCGUUAUCCGGAUUCACUGGGCGUAGAGGGUGCGUAGGUGGCCAUGAAAGUUUGAUGUGAAAUCUCCGGGCUUAACCCGGAACGGUCAAGUGAUACUGUCGGGCUAGAGUGCAGAAGGGGCAACUGGAAUUCUCGGUGUAGCGGUGAAAUGCGUAGAUAUCGAGAGGAACACCUGCGGCGAAGGCGGGUUGCUGGGCUGACACUGACGCUGAGGCGCGAAAGCCAGGGGAGCGAACGGG